UACGAAGGGGGCUAGCGUUGCUCGGAAUUACUGGGCGUAAAGGGCGCGUAGGCGGACAGUUUAGUCGGGGGUGAAAGCCCGGGGCUCAACCUCGGAAUUGCCUUCGAUACUGGCUGUCUUGAGUACGGGAGAGGUGUGUGGAACUCCGAGUGUAGAGGUGAAAUUCGUAGAUAUUCGGAAGAACACCAGUGGCGAAGGCGACACACUGGCCCGUUACUGACGCUGAGACACGAAAGCGUGGGUAGCAAACAGG
rnacentral:rRNA from 1 species